rnacentral:rRNA from 1 species
AGAAUGAACGUUGGCGGCGUGGAUUAGGCAUGCAAGUCGAACGGGCCGCAAGGCCAGUGGCGGAAGGGUGAGUAAGGCGACGGUAACCAACCCCAUGGUUGGGUAUAGCCGCGGGAAACUGCGGGUAAUCCCCAGCGACGUCCGGAUCGGACAUCCGAUCUUGACCAAAGUUUUAACGCCGUGGGACGGGCCGUCGUGGUAUUAGUUAGUUGGCGGGUAAUGGCCCACCAAGACGAUGAUCUGUAUCC